UACGUAGGGGCCUAGCGUUGUCCGGAUUUAUUGGGCGUAAAGAGCUCGUAGGCGGCUUGGUAAGUCAGGUGUGAAAUCUCCACGCUCAACGUGGAGGGGCCACCUGAUACUGGAUGGCUUGAGUUUGGGAGAGGGAUGCGGAAUUCCAGGUGUAGCGGUGAAAUGCGUAGAUAUCUGGAGGAACACCGGUGGCGAAGGCGGCAUCCUGGACCAACACUGACGCUGAGGAGCGAAAGCCAGGGGAGCAAACGGG
rnacentral:rRNA from 1 species